rnacentral:lncRNA from 1 species
AUCCGUGAAUCUGUGUAUGAAUGUUAUAUUUAAGUUAAAAUGUGUGAUAUAGUGUCUGAUCAUUAUUGUUAUAAUUGCAGCCAAGAGGCAACAGAAAACAUGGUGCAUCAUUUAUCAUCACUAGAGCAAUUACAGGUCCUGCAUUAUUUUUGCUUCGGUACCUCUGGUACAGCCCUGCAAAAUUUUCUCUGCCCACUGGACUGGUUCGUCUCGUUAGUAAGCAGAUCAACUGGCACCUUGUCCUUGCCAGGUAACCAGCGCUCAUGCUUUUCCAUUUUUUUAUGGUAGUGAAUGUAUUAAUGCUUCUUCUGCUCUCCCCGCCAUCCCUGCUG